AUCACGGUACAUAUCAUCGUUCAUUUCGCUUCCCGACUGUGAUCGCAGUGACAUCCAUUUUUUUGUCAAGUGUGUACAAACCAAACCAUGGAGUAGCACACUAAAUCUACCAGGACCGUCAUCCGGAUGUCCGAGAGACUCAACAACAACAACAACGGCAACAACAAUAAUGACGACAGCGGGAUUGGCCACGCCAUUGUGGUGUUUACCUUCAAGGUGUCGGGAACUCCAUGUAAAAAUAGAAUGCAUUUCGUGGUGCCACAGUGUCUUUUCUAUGGCAAUUGGCGAAGCGUAAAGUGAUCUGUGUAAAACAAUCCUUAGCCAGUGAACUAAGCCUUGCGCAUUGCGCGAGGUCUGCAGGAUCGUGUGCGGUUUCGUUAUGAAUUGCGAAGAUAUUGAAAAUUGUGCAAAAAAAUACCGUGAGUCGUUAUUAUUUAUUAACAUGAGUUCUAACAUAAGUUAACAGUACCUAUAGUAUAUUAAAAUGCUGUGUAGUUGAUUAUUACUGUAUCAAAAAGUAUCGUUAAAAAAUAGUAAUUGUCAUCAAUAACUUUCUACUCAUUGAAUUUUUUCCUGGAUACAUUUUUAUUUCUUUGACAAUUAAGAGGAGAAAAUAUCGAUAAUCAAACCAACGAAUUUAGUAUAUUAUAUUAAUUAAAAAUAAAAUAACAAAAUAAUAUUUAAAUUAGACUGCUAUUUAAACGAGUUUUGAUUCGUAGUAAUAAAUAUGACAUUUAAAACAAUCUCAGGUGAUCAUCAGUAAGACAAUAUAUUAUAUUUAUAUACUCAUAGGUAUUUUUAGAUGUACUAUAACUUACACGUUUGAAUAAGAGAUGCUAUAAAUUCGAACAUUUGUUUCACGUGGAGAAACAAUAUCCGAAGUGUAUAAAAAAAUAAAAUGGCAAUAGUGGUUCCAAUAACAACUUGAAGGGCCUAAUCGUCCGGUAACAAAACUGAGAUGGAAAUAAUGAUAACACAUAAACGAAAGAAUUGAACGAAAAACUAUUCGUUGCUUCGUUCCAUUAUUCGAUAGUUGGUAUGUGGCGUACAUUUUCUAAAAUGUGGAUUACUUUGAAACUUUACAAUCCAUAAAAUUUUACAUAUUGGCAUCGGACAGAUUGUCGACAACGAAGCAAACCAAGUAUAAUAAUGCAUUACUUACCAAACACUGUGCCCUGUACGUGAUAAACAUUUUGAAAUUUAAGCAGAUAUAGGUGCACACUGCUAUCAAUAAUAUCACAGAAUAUUCGAAAUACUUUUUGUGAUAUACUUAUUCAUAUUCGUAAGUUAACGCACAACCAUACAAUAUUUUAUAGGAAGUUUUCAACAUGUACAAUAUUGCAAUUUGCAACAACCCACUAUUGGACUCCGACCGAAUUAAAACUUUAAUUAUAAUUUUACACAGGACGUAUUUUUUUCCAUUUAAAAAUACAAAUGAGAUUGCAACUUCUAUCUCUCCUGGGGGUCAGGAGCUGUUUAUGGAACUGAAGGGUCAUUAGAUGAUUGAAAUGACAACAGAAGUCAAAAACGAAUUGACAUUAUCUGCUACGGUUCGAAGCCACCGUGAAGUUAUUAUAAUUAGUAAAUAUAAUUGUUUUUCCUUUUAAUAACGUCGAUAAAGUUAUAAUAAUUUAUCGACAGGCCGAUGAGUCAAACACAGCAAUAACGAGUGUUAUAAAGCGAUCGUAUGCCAGAUACAUUUUUUUUUUUAAUUUUUAAUUUAAAUAACACAUAUUUUGUACUAUAAUACAAGAGCUAUGUAGUUAUCAAAACUUCACAAAAGUACAAUCGCGUAAUAGAAUAUAAUGUGGAAAGUUUCAACCUUUUGGUCAUAUCGUUUAACUACCACGAUACAUUUUUUUUUAAAUAAUAAUCAUAAUCAUGAUAAUAAUAGCAAUAUAUAAUGCUUGAAACUAGGGGCUGAUCACUUUUCGGGUCGAUUGUUCGCAACAAUAAGGUAAUAAAGGUUUUAUUAUGGACGAGAGCAGCGGUUCUUUUGCAACCCUCAUCCGGGUAAACUAAUCGCCGCAAAAUCGUUCACGAUAACAAUAAUAAUGGUCUUCGUUUGUCGUUCAAAGUUUUGACGGGCCAAUUGUAUUGGUCUGACAAGAAAAAAAAUCAACUAAGUGAUCGUACGUGAUAAUCAUACUUUUGUAUGACCGUGGUUUCGACUACACUAGUUGAUUCGGGUCUUAGUUGAUCAGUAAAUGUGUGUGUGCGUGUUUAAGUUCUAAGCAUCAUUUUUGAAAAGACAUUUUUUUUACAUACAAAACGCGCUAUAAUUUUGUUUAAUUCCUUUAAUAUUUUGUAAAUAUUUGCGACAUUCUUAAUAGCGCGGUGAUUAUCCUUAAUAAAUACAAUAUGUAACAUUUUUAAUAUUAAAAACAGAUAAUACUACCUACUUAUUAUUGAAUACUUUCUAGUCUUAUUUAUCACUUUAUUUUUUUUGAUAGGUAUAGUAUAUUGAGGAUGUAUGUAUAUUCGUAAUAAAAUAAAUUAGCUUUAGCUUACUAUAAAAUAU